rnacentral:lncRNA from 1 species
CUGCACGUUGUGGGAUUCUCAAGUUGUGUCUCCUGCAAGGACUAGGAAAGAUCCAUCCAUGCUGCUUACCUCUUACGGAGAAUCCUGCAAAGUACGUAUCAUCAUUUGUGCUGUGCCUUGCUGAGAAGGAUCCAGGACAGGAAGGAGCCCUACAACUUCUGGUUGUUAUCUUCUCCAGUGUAUCCUCACUGCCACGAAUCACAAUUCUCUAUCAACUUUGCACCUGUAAGAAAAGAUUUAGGAAAGACAAAAAGAUUAAUCAAUCAAUGCAAGCCACAAAUAGCUUUAUUAGUAUCAAUGUGUUCAGCCAGUGCAGUUCAGACAAGGCACAGCCAAAAG